CGAAAAGCGCAGUUUAUUUUGGAUUUUAAAGAAAGAAAUCGAAAAAGCUUCACAAGGAGAAAAAGGAAUCAUUUGGAGAAUUCAAAUAUAUUGCGUACAACAAACAAAUAAGGGAAUAUAAUCCAGAAGCUGGAUGCCAUUGAGACCCGUCUCACUGCAAUUGAAAAGUCCCUAACAGACAAAAUGCCAGAGAAGGCCGAGGUGCAGGCGCAAAGUAAAUUAGUGCGCGAAUGCCGCGUCAUAGCGCCAGUUGAUUAGUUCUAAGUUGAAGUUUCUUAUUUUACUUUAACAAAUAUGAAUUUUUAGCAUUAUAACUUUUAUACUGAAAUAACUUGUAUUUUUUUUCUGCCGAAUGAUUUUGAUAUUAUUAUUUAAUAA